rnacentral:rRNA from 1 species
CCUACGGGUGGCAGCAGUGGGGAAUAUUGGACAAUGGGCGAAAGCCUGAUCCAGCCAUGCCGCGUGUGUGAAGAAGGCCUUCGGGUUGUAAAGCACUUUCAGUGGGGAAGAAAGCCUUGGGGCUAAUACCCUCGAGGAAGGACAUCACCCACAGAAGAAGCACCGGCUAACUCCGUGCCAGCAGCCGCGGUAAUACGGAGGGUGCGAGCGUUAAUCGGAAUUACUGGGCGUAAAGCGCGCGUAGGCGGUCUGAUAAGCCGGUUGUGAAAGCCCCGGGCUCAACCUGGGAACGGCAUCCGGAACUGUCAGGCUAGAGUGCAGGAGAGGAAGGUAGAAUUCCCGGUGUAGCGGUGAAAUGCGUAGAGGUCGGGAGGAAUACCAGUGGCGAAGGCGGCCUUCUGGACUGACACUGACGCUGAGGUGCGAAAGCGUGGGUAGCAAACAGGAUUAGAUACCCGAGUAGUC